rnacentral:rRNA from 1 species
CGGGCGGCUGCUUACCAUGCGAGUCGAACGGGCGUAGCAAUACGUCAGUGGCAGACGGGUGAGUAACGCGUGGGAACGUACCUUUUGGUUCGGAACAACUGAGGGAAACUUCAGCUAAUACCGGAUAAGCCCUUACGGGGAAAGAUUUAUCGCCGAAAGAUCGGCCCGCGUCUGAUUAGCUAGUUGGUGAGGUAAUGGCUCACCAAGGCGACGAUCAGUAGCUGGUCUGAGAGGAUGAUCAGCCACAUUGGGACUGAGACACGGCCCAAACUCCUACGGGAGGCAGCAGUGGGGAAUAUUGGACAAUGGGGGCAACCCUGAUCCAGCCAUGCCGCGUGAGUGAUGAAGGCCCUAGGGUUGUAAAGCUCUUUUGUGCGGGAAGAUAAUGACGGUACCGCAAGAAUAAGCCCCGGCUAACUUCGUGCCAGCAGCCGCGGUAAUACGAAGGGGGCUAGCGUUGCUCGGAAUCACUGGGCGUAAAGGGUGCGUAGGCGGGUUUCUAAGUCAGAGGUGAAAGCCUGGAGCUCAACUCCAGAACUGCCUUUGAUACUGGAAGUCUUGAGUAUGGCAGAGGUGAGUGGAACUGCGAGUGUAGAGGUGAAAUUCGUAGAUAUUCGCAAGAACACCAGUGGCGAAGGCGGCUCACUGGGCCAUUACUGACGCUGAGGCACGAAAGCGUGGGGAGCAAACAGGAUUAGAUACCCUGGUAGUCCACGCCGUAACGAUGAAUGCCAGCCGUUAGUGGGUUUACUCACUAGUGGCGCAGCUAACGCUUUAAGCAUUCCGCCUGGGGAGUACGGUCGCAGAUUAAAACUCAAAG